rnacentral:rRNA from 1 species
AUUGAACGCUGGCGGCAGGCCUAACACAUGCAAGUCGAACGCGUGGCGGACGGGUGAGUAAUGUCUGGGAAACUGCCCGAUGGAGGGGGAUAACUACUGGAAACGGUAGCUAAUACCGCAUACCAUCGGAUGUGCCCAGAUGGGAGUAGCUAGUAGGUGGGGUAAUGGCUCACCUAGGCGACGAUCCCUAGCUGGUCUGAGAGGAUGACCAGCCACACUGGAACUGAGACACGGUCCAGACUCCUACGGGAGGCAGAAGUGGGGAAGAUUGCACAAUGGGCGAAAGCCUGAUGGAGCCAUGCCGCGUGUGUGAAGAAGGCCUUCGGGUUGUAAAGCACUUUCAGCGGGGAGGCGUUACCCGCAGAAGAAGCACCGGCUAACUCCGUGCCAGCCGCCGCGGUAAUAC